GCCCGUCUAGCUCAGUCGGUAGAGCGCAAGGCUCUUAACCUUGUGGUUGUGGGUUCAAGCCCCACGGUGGGCG
rfam:Oryza rufipogon genomic scaffold, chr10